rnacentral:rRNA from 1 species
AGUGAACGCUGGCGGUAGGCCUAACACAUGCAAGUCGAACGGCAGCACAGUAAGAGCUUGCUCUUACGGGUGGCGAGUGGCGGACGGGUGAGGAAUACAUCGGAAUCUACUUUUUCGUGGGGGAUAACGUAGGGAAACUUACGCUAAUACCGCAUACGACCUACGGGUGAAAGCAGGGGAUCUUCGGACCUUGCGCGAUUGAAUGAGCCGAUGUCGGAUUAGCUAGUUGGCGGGGUAAAGGCCCACCAAGGCGACGAUCCGUAGCUGGUCUGAGAGGGUGAUCAGCCACACUGGAACUGAGACACGGUCCAGACUCCUACGGGAGGCAGCAGUGGGGAAUAUUGGACAAUGGGCGCAAGCCUGAUCCAGCCAUACCGCGUGGGUGAAGAAGGCCUUCGGGUUGUAAAGCCCUUUUGUUGGGAAAGAAAAGCAGCAGGUUAAUACCCCGCUGUUCUGACGGUACCCAAAGAACAAGCACCGGCUAACUUCGUG